rnacentral:pre_miRNA from 12 species
AUAUCGGAAUAGCUGUUGUGUCACUUCCUCAUGCUGACAUAUUUACUAGAGGGUAAAAUUAAUAACCUUCUAGUAAGAGUGGCAGUCGAAGGGAAGGGCUCAUCUGACUUCUGGAAACCUG